GAUGAACGCUGGCGGCGUGCCUAAUACAUGCAAGUCGAGCGAAUUGAUUAGAAGCUUGCUUCUAUGACGUUAGCGGCGGACGGGUGAGUAACACGUGGGCAACCUGCCUGUAAGACUGGGAUAACUUCGGGAAACCGAAGCUAAUACCGGAUAGGAUCUUCUCCCUCAUGGGAGAUGAUUGAAAGAUGGUUUCGGCUAUCACUUACAGAUGGGCCCGCGGUGCAUUAGCUAGUUGGUGAGGUAACGGCUCACCAAGGCAACGAUGCAUAGCCGACCUGAGAGGGUGAUCGGCCACACUGGGACUGAGACACGGCCCAGACUCCUACGGGAGGCAGCAGUAGGGAAUCUUCCGCAAUGGACGAAAGUCUGACGGAGCAACGCCGCGUGAGUGAUGAAGGCUUUCGGGUCGUAAAACUCUGUUGUUAGGGAAGAACAAGUACGAGAGUAACUGCUCGUACCUUGACGGUACCUAACCAGAAAGCCACGGCUAACUACGUGCCAGCCGCCGCCGUAAAAC
rnacentral:rRNA from 1 species